rnacentral:rRNA from 1 species
GGACGACUCUCGGCAACGGAUAUCUCGGCUCUCGCAUCGAUGAAGAACGUAGCGAAAUGCGAUACUUGGUGUGAAUUGCAGAAUCCCGUGAACCAUCGAGUCUUUGAACGCAAGUUGCGCCCGAGGCCACCCGGCCGAGGGCACGCCUGCCUGGGCGUCUCGCACCGCGCUGCCCGCACCCGACUCCGGGCGAGGGCGGAGAUUGGCCGACCGUGCUCCUCGGGGCGCGGCGGGCUGAAAGCUGAAUCUCGAUUGCCCCCGGCGGGGCGUCGGCACGGCGUUGGGUGGUCUGCAGGGGGCUCUACGAGCCGAUGCGAUCGGACGCCGCGCACGCCGCCUCCCGGGGCUCCAAGGCACCCCAGAUUGCGACGCGACCCCAGGUCAGGCGGGGACACCCGCCGAGUUUAAGCAUAUAAAUAAGCGGAGGAAAAGAAACUUACGAGGAUUCCCCUAGUAACGGCGAGCGAACCGGGAAGUGCCC